GACGAACGCUGGCGGCGUGCUUAACACAUGCAAGUCGAACGGUAAGGCCCUUCGGGGUACACGAGUGGCGAACGGGUGCGUAACACGUGGGUGAUCUGCCCUGCACUUUGGGAUAAGCCUGGGAAACUGGGUCUAAUACCGAAUAUGACUACAGGCUGCAUGGUCUGUGGUGGAAAGCUUUUGCGGUGUGGGAUGGGCCCGCGGCCUAUCAGCUUGUUGGUGGGGUGAUGGCCUACCAAGGCGACGACGGGUAGCCGGCCUGAGAGGGUGACCGGCCACACUGGGACUGAGAUACGGCCCAGACUCCUACGGGAGGCAGCGGUGGGGAAUAUUGCACAAUGGGCGCAAGCCUGAUGCAGCGACGCCGCGUGAGGGACGACGGCCUUCGGGUUGUAAACCUCUUUCAGCACAGACGAAGCGAAAGUGACGGUAUGUGCAGAAGAAGGACCGGCCAACUACGUG
rnacentral:rRNA from 1 species